rnacentral:rRNA from 1 species
GAGGAGCUUGUUUCUCCGGAUGAGUUGCGAACGGGUGAGUAACGCGUAGGUAACCUGCCUGGUAGCGGGGGAUAACUAUUGGAAACGAUAGCUAAUACCGCAUAACAGUAGAUGUUGCAUGACAUUUGCUUAAAAGGUGCAAUUGCAUCACUACCAGAUGGACCUGCGUUGUAUUAGCUAGUUGGUGGGGUAACGGCUCACCAAGGCUACGAUACAUAGCCGACCUGAGAGGGUGAUCGGCCACACUGGGACUGAGACACGGCCCAGACUCCUACGGGAGGCAGCAGUAGGGAAUCUUCGGCAAUGGACGGAAGUCUGACCGAGCAACGCCGCGUGAGUGAAGAAGGUUUUCGGAUCGUAAAGCUCUGUUGUAAGAGAAGAACGAGUGUGAGAGUGGAAAGUUCACA